rnacentral:rRNA from 1 species
AAUAGAUACCCGGGUAGUCCACGCCGUAAACAAUGAGUGCUAGGUGUUAGGGGUUUCGAUACCCUUAGUGCCGGCGUUAACACAUUAAGCACUCCGCCUGGGGAGUACGGCCGCAAGGCUGAAACUCAAAGGAAUUGACGGGGGCCCGCACAAGCAGUGGAGCAUGUGGUUUAAUUCGAAGCAACGCGAAGAACCUUACCAGGACUUGACAUCCUUUGGCCGCUCUAGAGAUAGAGUCUUCCCCUUCGGGGGACAAAGUGACAGGUGGUGCAUGGUUGUCGUCAGCUCGUGUCGUGAGAUGUUGGGUUAAGUCCCGCAACGAGCGCAACCCUUGAUCUUAGUUGCCAGCAUUGAGUUGGGCACUCUAAGGUGACUGCCGGUGACAAACCGGAGGAAGGUGGGGAUGACGUCAAAUCAUCAUGCCCCUUAUGUCCUGGGCUACACACGUGCUACAAUGGACAGUACAACGGGUAGCGAAGCCGCGAGGUGAGCCAAUCUCAUAAAGCUGUUCUCAGUUCGGAUUGCAGG